AUUGCUUUGUGAAUUCAUUUCCCACAGAGACAGACUGGAGAUGCAAUGUUCAGAUUCCAACUUCCUCUGUGCUCUGGGGUGUCAGCUCCGUGUCUCGGAUUUGGGCCCAUUUCAAACGUCUAGUUAUUAACAGCUAUACCCAGUAUUGUGUUUAUAGACUAUACUGUAAACUGUGCAAGGAAUGCAAACAGUUGAUUUUCGUGAAAAGCCUAGGAAGAUUUUGUUUUCAAGAAUAAAGAGAACAUAAUCACCCUUCAUAGCUUGGCGUGUUCCAAGGCAGACGACCCUGGUUUACAUUUGCUCGUGUCAAAGGCGCUGCAUGCUACAGACAGAGCAGACCGAGACCAACAGAGUGCUUCACAAAUACUGAUGGAGAGUGAAAAUGCAAAAGGAUAACUGCAGCGUCUAAAGGGAAAUUGUCCAAGCACAGGAGAAGAGGCAUACUGGAAAGAGAAGAGCCUUCGCUCCUAGCUGGGCGGCUCCAGAUUAUUCACUGGAUAAUCUUCCUCCAGUAAGAAGUGUCUUGAACUGAAAGGCAUCUUUGAUCGACCACUCCUUACCGAAGUGAUCAAAACUUUGAAAUAAAUGGAUCGUAAAUGAGCAUUAACUACAUCAGUGUGAUCUAUUGCUCUGACACCUAUUUGCCACAGGAGGAAGGUGAGGUCUCCAUUUGUCUCUGCUAAAGGAAUGAGGUAUUUCUAACACGAGGUUAGAAGGCUGCAGUGACAGGAGCUGGGCAUGCCCAGGCCCUGCGGUGUGAAGCUGUGCUUCAGUGAGGGCACUCCAUAGCCCAUCACUCGCUCACUAACAGAAUGACUUGGUUCCAUCAGUCUGAUUUACAGGAGAGGGAACUGAUGUAGAGAAGUGAGCAGUGCCAUUGGGAGCGUGUGUUUUUAAGUGACAGAUCUCCGAGUGACUUCAUGUAGACCAGUGUUACUCAACAACGUCCUGUUUGACUGUGUUCUGAUAUAUGUCGGUUGCAAGAAGGUUUUCUUGACCUGCUGAUUCUGCUUCAGCCAUCUUCCAUGUUUCCAGUGUCCGUGUCCGUGUCUGGCUGACUGCAGUCCCUGAUUUGCUAGAGAAGUCGUUGCCAUGGCUCAGCACCGUGCCAGACGGGGCCCCCGCCGCCCUGAGGAAUUUGUGUCAGAUAGAACAUUUCGUACGAUGCAGAAGGUUCUGUCACCUUGAUUCGAAGGAAGUUGUUUGUGUUAAUGCUUAAAGCUCCUCAGGAACAGCAGAGAAAGCCUGCAGAGUGGGAGGGUGACCCUCAUAAUACGUGGAGGAGUGGGAUGCUCAGCUGUGGGAGGACUCUGCUCCAGGACUGCAGGCCUGCACGCUGUGAUUGAGGUUAGAAGGGAACACAGGGGACAGGAGAACAGAAGGCUGUUCGUCUGCAAAGACCAAUGAUGUCUCCUGGUCCAGGACACAGAUGCAUGGCAUUAGUUUGGUGAGGCUCUACUAGCAAGCUCAGGAAUGACAGUGAUGCUCUCUGUGCCAUCCUGGAUGACACAAAAUUUGUGCCUAAAUCCCUGGAUGGAUGCAGACUUAAUUUCACUGGCAAACGCUUUGAAAAGUGCAGCCCUCUGUAACACCUCCCGAAGAAGAAAAGACAGAGACAGACUGCAUGUCAUUCCUUCACUCCUGUAUGCCCAUAUCAGCACUCACUGCGCCUACAGAGAAGCACAAGAAUCACACGGUUCCAGGCAAAAUGCAUGUCAGUGACCCAGCAGCGAUGCACACUGCGCCGGCACCAGAGAAUCACCAGAGGAGCUGUGAACUAACCCAGACAGAAAGCAGUGGUGCAAAGGUACUGUUGGACGUGUUUGCGUAGCCAGAAGAUAAAGCUUCGUGGCAUGACGUGAUGUCCUCCAGAUGUACUGGGAAGCCCUGCACACACCUCCAGAGAGCAGCUGAAGAGCAGCAGCAGAUGGCCACGGCAGCAUGCAACGCACCAGCCCCGCUGCCCUAUGUAUCAUGGGGGCUCAGUGUUCAAGGGAUGCACAGUGCAGCUCAGAAGCCUGGGCUGAUGGGGCUGGAUGCUGCAGCGCAGACAUGGCACCGUGAAACCUCUGUGCCCCAGGGCCUGCAGUUUGCUGCCGGUGUUAGGGCCGUGGUGAGGAUGGCAGCUCACCCAGCCUCUGGAGCCAGGCUGGCUGCCUGACAGCCCGGCCACAAGUGCUGUGCCAUAUUGGAGCUCAGCAGCUGCCCCAAGCUGGCGGGCUGUGCGCCAGCCAGACGAGCUGCCCAGAGGUAGCGGUGAGUAAGGCAUCACUUCUGAACGUGACUUGGCAGUGUCAGGAUUAAAACCAAAGAGCCAACAAAAGCAAAAAUAAAAAUAAUUUAAAAAAAUAAAAACAAAACCUAACAAUGAUAACAGUGAUUUCUCCAGAAAAGAAUCAGGUUGAGAAAUGGUCUUACCUUAAGAAAAGGCUCACUGUGGCCUUCCAGAAGGGAGCUCACAAGCAGGAGGGGCACAGGGCAAAGGGGAAUGGUUUAUACUAAAAGAGAGGAGAUUUAGGUUAGGUGUUAGGAAGAAAAUCUUUACUCAGAUGGUGGUGAGGCACUGGCACAGACUGCCUGGAGAAGCUGUGUAUAUCCCAUCACUGGAAGCAUUCAGUGCCAGGUUGGAUGGGGCCCUGGGCAGCCAAAUCUGGUGGGUGGCAGCUUUACCCAUGCCCAGUGGGUUGGAACUAGAUGAUCUUUAAGGUCUCCCCCAACCUAAGCCAUCCUAUGAUUCUAUGACUGUUCAGCUACAAUGAAAGGCUAUAGUCUUCAGCUGGUGGCUGGACACUGGAUUGCACUCAUAAAAUAGAACUGCCUGCAAGGGCUGAAUGCCAUAAUUAACAGGCAUUUUUUAGAAAUUAUUGGUUAAUGUAAUAGAAAUACUGCCAACUGUUGUUGUUAAAACCUAAGUUUGUUCCUUUGGUGGUAAUGCAUAAUGACUCAACACUGCUUCAAUGGGAAGAUACCUUUGUCUGUUACAUAUUGCUACCUUCAUUUGUACAAUGGUUUAUAUGGCAAAUAAUACAAAUUCUGAAACUUAAAGACAGCUUCAGGAAGUAAUCAGAGUGCCACCCGUGUCCUGGGCGAUCACAGUACUGGCAGUACAACAAGGCCUUUUUAUCAUAUCAUGGCAUUAAUGAUCCAAUCCCACUCCCACGGCAGGCAAUGUGGCCUUUAUCACCAAUGCUGUUUAAGCAGGACUAAGCUUAAAGGGUUCUAGAACAGGGAAAGAUGCUAAUCUAAGUUUCACAUCCAUCUGGUACAUUUCUCAUGCAGGUUAUACAUGACCACCUAGAGAACUACUGCACAUUUUUAGUAACAAACUCUAUGAGCCCUACCAGGGAAUACAGGUUGUCCUCAGAUAAUGGGAUCUACUCAUAUGAUGCAGAUGUCUUAUCACCUAAGAACAUUUUCACAAUAUUACAAUAGCGACCGAAAGGUUAUUUCUCAAACCCUGUCUGUCACCCAGUAGGUACCAGCUGAAAAGUUUCUGUUUGAUUGCUAAAGAGUAGAAAGCAAUGAACACACAUUGGCAAAUCUUAGAUCAGGCAUGAUGUGGAUGUUGCACACCUCAGACUAACGCCCACCUUCACUUCAGGGAAAGGAGAAACCAGACCUGCAGACACACUAAUCGCUCCUGCUCUCAGAGUUCCCACUCACCUGGUUGGAAAUGAACUGCAGAACCUUGCUGCUUUCUAUUUACUGCACUGAGAGCCAGUGAUUUCUGAGUACUUCCAGUCAUCAACUGCAUGGCUAUUGCAGCAUUUUAUGAUGUAAAAUCCUCCUAAUGUACGAAUUAAAAAAAUAUAUAUGCAGUCUGUGCUGAGAUUGACAAUUCUGAUACAAGAGGGGGAGGUGAAGUCCAAUCUCUGCUCAGCUGGGAGGAACGCAAAGGUGAUGACACACCACUUAGUUUUGGGACAGCUUGGAGGUGUGGGUGUACGACCCACCAAAGCGGGGUCACUUCACCCAAAGGAGGGCAAGCAGCAGAACUGGGCUGUCAUGCACAAGACUCAAACCAUCAGACUGUGCCAGAGUCAAAAUGAGAGCUCCCAGAGCCUGGUUUCCAGCUGCACCCACUGCUGAGCAGAGACUGUGCAUCCCCAUCAAGUGCAGGAGGUCAUGUCCUUCAGCUGCUUCUAAGGGAAGGCGCUUCAGAGCACACAGGCACACUCAGCAACGCUGGUGGUGGACACAUGCAGACGUGGCCGAGGAAAGCUAAACAGGAUGCAUCAGCACCAAAGGGAUCUGGGCAGCCCAUCCCACUGGCUUUCAGUAGCACUGAAUAUGACGGGCUCUUGGACAAACCUGUGGAUCCCAGCCUGCCAUGUGACACUGCUAAGUGACUCUUGUCAGUAGAGCGUAGCAACUUGACUUAUUCCCUUCUGCAGAGCACACACUGGCCUGUGUACUGUCCAGGGGAGAAGCAGAGCCUCGCAAUUGGAAGGCGGGCACCAAAAGACACACGUGGGGCUGGAAGCUGGACAGUCCCAGCACCCAGGUCAGAAAUAAAACUGCUUUUACAGCAAGGAUUUCAGUAUAUGGUCUGGCUGUUGCUGACCUUGUCUGAGAACCUCUGUCAGCAGUGUGCCCAAUAGCUGACACGCUGCAGGCCUCUAUCAGAUGACAUUGCUAUUACAGUGCCUGCAGAGGUGGGGAAGUUCAUAUGUUAACAAACAAUACUGAGUGAAUUGAUUCCUCCUGCCUGCAUUGCCGUUGCUGUUCCACUCCCUCCACAAAACUAGGCUUUAGGAUACAGUUUAUUCCCUUUUCCAUGUAUCACUGUAACUGCAGUACUGUUGUAGACCAGCUAGAAGAAGUGGAGUUGUGAAUUCACCUUCUCUUUGGAAAUGUUACUCCAUCCACCCACACCUCUUUCUUCUUUGCUAACUCCAGUCAUCCAUCCCCAGGACCUACACCCACACUGAUCCCAACUCACUGAUGAACAUACAUGGAAAAAGGCCUUGCUAAAUAGAUUGCAGCUCCUGUCCCAUAGCUGUGUUUAUAGGAUCAUUGGAUACUAAAUCUAAUACAUAAAUGAGAACCCACUGGUUGAGUAAGGUCUCUGGAUUUAGUGCUCGCUCCAUGAAACAGGUUACUCAGCACAGCAGCUCCGGGUGCCCCAGGACACAGGGCUCAGCCAAGUGGAGGCCUGACCCCAAAGAGACUAACUCUGAUGCUGUUUGGGAACUUCUCCCCAUAGUGACAGGACACUCAGAACCUGAGUGAGGAGACACCUGAACCAUUCAGGAGGACUCCAGCUUCCACCCAACAGAGGUCCCAUCAGCCAAGCUGCCAAAGGUGCCCUGGAGUCCCAUCCCUCUCUCCCAGGGAAAGCCCUGCAACGCUGGGGCCCUAUGAGCUUGGGCUCAUUUCAUUUAAGUCUUCCCACUUUAUAGCAACAAUGUCCUGAAAAGAUUGGAGGAUGCAGAACAAACAGAAACUCAGCAUGGCACAGCGAUGCAAAAAAAGGUUCCAAAAGGUCAAGACAGGGAGAAGUGGAUGAACUCUGGUAUUUUAACAGCUCGGCAUUGAUGCCAUAAAUUAAAAGGAAGUGUGCUGGAUGUUUUAUUUUCUGUGUGUGGUAAACUGUACAGUUAGAGUCUGAAUAAACCUCUUUUGUCAAUUUUACUACCUUUCUGAUAUAAAAAUAAAUAAACUUAAACAAAGAAGAAGUGGAGACCUGCCAAGCCAGCCUACUUUGGUAAGAACUGCACUGACAAGGGAGCAAUUGUGUCUUAAAGCUGAGGGGCUGAAACGAUCAGCUUUUGGGGGCUGGCAAAGCCCUUCUGGAAGGGAGCUGCUCUGUAUGCAGGAGGAGCUACAGGAGAAGGAAAAAAAAAAAGGACACUCAUCUAAAAGGCAACAAAAGAACAUCAUUAAAAUUUCUGCUACCAGAACUGCUUCCCUGUUUGAUGGGAAGGCUGCAGGUAAAUAGCUGCUGCAAAAUAUACCAGGGUAACAGCACCUAGGAGCAUUUUAAUGGUGAUAUAAAAUUCACAAGUAAAUGAUAUAAUGUACUAAGUAACUUAUUAGGCUGAAUAUAAAACAAAGGUAUCAAGAAUGAUGGUUUUACUCUGCAGUGAAUCUCAGCAAUGAGUUCUAGGCUUACCAGUCCAAUGCCAAGCAUGAGAACUUCCAGUAGGCAGCAACACGUAAUUACCGCUGGGUGGAGGUGAAUCAACCACUUUCCGUCAUGAAGCCAAUGAGGGACCCUCAGACAAUCUGCCAAAGGUGGGUGGGUGAAUGAGUGUUACUUUCCUGCUAGGCUCCCAUCAGGGCACCACACCUUGUGAUAUUAUCUCUGUAAUAACCAAACAACUUUAAAUGAUAUUGUGUCACUGCAAAUGAAGCAGGAGGGUGACCCAGCAAGUCAGAUUUCAUUAGUGCAUGAGGGACUGCACUCCAGCAUGCAGCUACACACACACACACACACCUUCAGACCCUGGAAACCUCAGCCUGCAAUGCAGAGCAAUCUAAACUUUAGCCAUACAUGCCUGAGAUUGUGUCUCCUCCAUGAGAGAUGCACAUGGACUUGCACAUGCAUAGCAGGCUUAUCACUACACCCAUGUCCUAUUUGCUUUUCUGUGUGUCACUGUUGAAAGUUUUCUAAUGCGCUAGGUAAGAAGAUUGCAAAUGAAGCAGAACUUCAACUGCUCAAUCGCAUUAAUACGGGUACAGUAAAAGAUGACAGGAUUACAUACAGUUCGUCUAAUUAGCAAGCCAUGUGCAGCAUUGCCUGCCCAAGUGUUCAUGCACUCAGGCUCGUUGCCUCCCACCACUGCACCUUUCCUGCCGCUUUCCUCAACUGCAAUUGCCUGCUCUAGUUCCAGUCACAGGGGACGUAUCUGGUCUGCCAUAACUUUCCAGCUGUGAACACACCAGUGACUCCUGCCAGCCCUCCACUGUUCUGACUAGCAUCUCCAAGAGCUUUCCAGGCAGAAGGAGUGAUUCAGAAGACUUUGGAGAUGUCGCACUGGCUGGGAGCAAGUGCUGUUGUCUGCCACAAGGAGAGAGCUUCAAGCCAUCCAAGGGCAUGCCAUAUUGGUUCACAAGGGCCUGAACUACAAUAGUUAGAUAAGUUUGAUGACAGAAAGUAAGAAAGAAAACGACUGGAAAGUCACCAGGUCAGACUGUGGGGCCAGAGCAGGAAAAAGGCUUUGCCAAAGUCAUACCUAGUGAAACUCAACCGUCUUCUGUGAAUUCAACCUCCUAUAGGCCAUUGUGCUAAUGUGUAUUUUGGCAAGUGCCUGACCCUUCCUGUUGACUGAAAUACUCAUGCUCUCUAGAAAUGACUAGGCCUGCACUCAACUCUCCAAGCAGCUAACCUUACCCCUUCUUCUUUCUUAUUUCUUCCUCUUGCAAAACCAGUCAAAUCCCUGCUGGGUGCCAGGAUCAGACAAUACCAUACUUCUGCCAUCUGUUGGUCUGGUUCCUCCUCGUUUCCUGUUUCUUCCCUCUAAGACUGCCUUAUGGUAACACAAAAGCCAUGGCAACAACAGUAGGAAGGUCACUCUUGGUGGCCAGGCUGGGAAGAAAGGGACUCCCAGCAGAGGAGAAGUAGGUGUGCCCUGGUUAGGUUGCUUCUGAAUUUGACCUGCUUAGCCACUCCCUACCAAAAAUCUCCUCAACCAGCACAUCAGGCUCAUGCUGUAGGUGUCACAAACUCCACACGUGUAAUCAACUGGCUUCUUCUGAAAGGGAUUAGCCUAAGCAUUAGGAAAGAACUAGGUGUCAUUUUUAAGGUAUCAGUACAUUUUUUGGGGGUAAUAUUCCCAAGCAAGUCCAUUUGGAAGCCAUUUCCAAACACAUGGACAAGAAUGCAACUGAGAACAGGCAGUGUGGAUUUACUAAGGUCAAAGUGUACCUGGCCAACAUGGUUGUCUUCUGUGCUGGAAUGACGUACUGGAUGAACAAGGUUAGGGAUGCUGUGGAUGUCACUUACCUCGGUUUUAGCACAGCCUGUAACACUGUCUCCUGUUCAAAGCAAACUGGGGUGGUACAGACUUGAUGGAUGGCCCACAGCAUACCUGGAAAAAGUACGUGAAGCUCAAAAGGCAGUAAUGGUCAACAGCUAGACUUUUAAUUAAUUGGCAUUAAGAAAUGGCAUUCUUCAAGGGACAACACUAGGGCCUGUCUUCACCAGCAUCCUGGAUGAAAGGCUGCAACGCACGUUCUGCAUGUUUGCGCAUGACGCUGUGUUCAGGGUGUAGAUCAUUAUGCUGGAGGACAGGACAGCCAUUCACAUAUUCUUCAGCAGCCUCAAAGACCAAUCUUACAGAAAUCUCCUCAAAUAUACCAAAGAGACAGACAAAAUCUGCACGCGAUACAGAAUUAAUCUGAGCAACAGCAGAGGAUGGGAGCUGAGUGGCUAGCAAGGAGCUUCACUGAAAAAAGCACCUGGGGUCCCAGUGGACAAAAUGCUCAUCAUGAGUCAGCUGUGAGGCUGUGCAGUGGUGACAGCCAAUUGCACCCUCACUGCACAGGAGGUAACGGAACCAGAUGCUCAUCAGCAGUGCACAGUGCAAGGGCAAUGACCGCAAGCUGUAGUAGGAGAAAUUCCACUGAAUGUAACUGGAGAAACGCUUCAAAAUGAAAGCUGACAUGCAUUGAAACGGGUGCCCAAAGAGGUUUGUGAAAUCUCCACCUUCCAACAUUGAACAGCAAAGCCCUAAGUAGCCUAAGCUCAUGCUGAAGUCAGCCCCCUUUGAGGAGGUUGGCUGCAGCCCUCUAGAUGCUCUUUCCAACCACAAUUAUUUGAUGAUUUUUAAUUUUUUUUAAACAGCUGUUCGUCUGGGAGACCUGGCUGGAGUUGGUUACAGAUUCCUCGAAAAGAACGAAGCUGUUAUCUCCACAGCAUCACCUGCCAGUUAUUGCUUAUUUGUAAUAUGAAUGAAUUCAGUGCAUACAUCACAAGUCCAGACAGUCAAGAGACUUCAGUUCUGAGAUUUUAUCUUCGAGGAUCAAAGAACUGAACUUUCUCUCUCUGAUCUUCAACCUGAGCAAAAAAAAAGAGGUCUGUCUUUAAUGCACUGUCAAAACCUCCCCACUUCAGAGGCAGCAUGAGAAAGACUGUUUCUGGGCUUUAUUUUGGAUUUAUGCAGCUCUCACGCGUUCUUGUGGUGACAACUGGACAUGUUGUGAGACUUCCUAAUAAAACAAUUGUUUCGGCCUGAAAUGUUGUAGAAGCAGUGUAUAACAUAUGGCCUCCAAAUGCAACACCUACUUCAGCAUCUGCACCCUACCAUAUAUACACGUACAUUUAUAUACAGCAGUCCAGGCUGCCAAAGGCUCAGAAGAUCUGCUAGCUACCAUGAAAAAUGGCUGCUGGCUCUUAGCAGAACCACACUGCAAAUGUGGGGUGUGGAUCCACAAGGCUGUGCCUUCCAGCAGCAAGGGCUGCAGUGCCAGGUGUGCCGGCACACCAGGAGAAGCUAAGGACAGAGGACUCCCCAAAAGGCACUGGUGUGCAAGGGCAUUUUUACCUCCCAGGCUGAGCAGAGACACAGGUCCCCAGCGAGUCGCAGCCCCAGAUGCCCCCUGAAAAACCGCAGCUGACCCAGGCACUCUGCAAGCCUGCGGUCAGAACCACAGUGGACACCCAGAGAAAGUAACAGACUUAGCUCUAAUCCCUGCACCAGUUGGUCUCGCAGACCCCGACACAGAACCCGGGCUGAGAAGCAAAAAAUAAAUAAAUAAAAGUAAAAACCCGUAUGUAUUUGAAAGCAUGUCCAGAAACAAACAAGCAAAACCUCUUAUCCAAACAAAUCAUAGUUAGAUCUUGGGUGAGACCAUGUUUAUGAAGGUUUAGCCAAGGAGCUUGCUUGGAGAUACCUCUCCAGCCUUAGCAUAACACAACCAGCCUGGACAAGUGCUACUAGAAAACACUUCAUUAAAACGCUGUUGUGGUAUUUAUUUAUAGGUAGCAAUUUAUAUCACACCCAUCGUACACACCAAUCCGGCAGCUAUGAUUGUCAAAUCAAACUGCUUCUUCCA
ensembl:lncRNA